rnacentral:misc_RNA from 1 species
CAAAAAUCUUGAAUUUCAUUGACAGAAAAGAAUGUAGUCACAAUAUAUUGAUCAAAUUACAAAAUGGAAACAGCUCCUGAAAGUGCCCUGCAGGCCCCACACUAACAGAACCUGCAUAUCCCAGGACCUCUCAUUCGUUCUUUUCUUCUGUUUCCAGAAUUCUUCUCUUUUCGCUGUCAUGCUAAUCUAUUGAUUUUCCUUUUCUCCUAAGUAAUGUACAUGUUAGCCUAACUAUUUUAUAUAUACAAAAAGCUAUGAUCGCUGCCUACCUGCUCUAUUGUAGUUACCCCUCCUGCCACUACCACUUUGUCUCCGAACCCCUCCUGUCCAUUCUGCAUCAUCAUCAUCAUCAUCGUCGUCAUCUCCAUUCACACGUGCAUUUUUUGUCUUUCUAGGUGUAGGGCGCUUCCUCUUGAUGUUUGCAGUGUAAGUGGUGUAAUCAACAGAAUCUUCCUUCAAAGCACCCUUAAAUUCCUGAUAUCUCUGCACCAAAUCUUGAUACGUGGAUGGCACACUAGUAGAUGUUUCACUAAUGUCAAAGGGAAUAUUCUGCCUUGACAGAGCUUCCCCGGUUUUUGGGGGUUCAUUUGGAGAGAAAGCCUGGCAGCGGGUAUCAUUCAGGCUAUAUACAACUUUUAGAUGCCUCUUAAGUUUCAAAAGAAGCUGCAAUGCAAUUGCCCAAAGACAAUUAACCUGGAUUUUCUCCACAUCAUCAUUCGAGAUGCUGAAAGAAUUAGCUGAGCUCUUAUCCAUCUUUGGUUCUCUAGAGGCAAUAGAGCUCAAGACCAAAUGAGGUUCUUCCUGAACUGUUCCAUUCAAAUCAAAUGAUGUCAAAGGAAUGAAAUUAGGCUGCGCAACUGGCUCUUGUUGAAUUACCCCAUUCAAAUCCAUUGUGGCCAUAUGACGGAGAAUAGGCUGCCCUGGCUCUUGCUGAAUUACCCCAUUUUCAUGCAGCAACUUCCCAGAAUUUCUUUGUGACAAAUGUAAAAUUAAGCCCUUCAUAUUUGCUUCAAGGGCUCCAGCCCUAACCUGUAUUAUCCGAUUUAUUGCAUAAAUCAAAUAAAGUGGUUCAUCGGGAGAUGUAAAUGGCAGCAUAGCAAGUACUUCUGUGCAGUACAUCAAAAAAGGAAUAACUGAAUUCGUCCAGCUUGGAUUGUCAAAUUUACGCACAAUUGAAGACAUAAAUUUGUUCCUUGAAAUGCGGUUUCCACGGAUAAGCUUGUAUAUUCGGGAAACUCCAAGCCUUGCUUGAAUGAGUGAACCACCUUCAGGUUUUCCCUUCAAAUUUCCAGCAGCUCUAGAUUGGAGUUUUUGAUUUAGAUUUUCAGCAGAAACACUGCAGGAUUGCAUGAAUAUAAAUGAUAGCUGAAGGCCAUCCCCCAACCGGCUUUCAAAAAAAGCAGGAUACUUCUCAUUCAUAUUCAUCAAUAAAUGAUGCGCCAACUUUGAGUUCAACUCUUGAGGAUCUGUUUCUAGUGCUAUAAGGUAUGGAACACAAGUGAUAGGAUGGACCAGACCUUGCCGUAGCACUACCUCCACAAUCUUAAGUGCAGUCUGGCGAACUUGUUCAUUGAAAUCCAAACAUCUACCCAAAAUAUUAUCCCAGUACAACUGAACGAUACCCCCACAGAUGUUGGUAUCACCUGCACCAGCAGCAACAGGAACACUGUGGCCCCCUUCUACAGGAUAAUGGUUUACAUCAUUGCUGACUUUAUCUGCUCCCAUUUGACUUUCAGAGUCAAGAAGAUACUCGUACAUGUUUUGCAAUGCUUGUAUCUGAACAAAAGAAUGAUUAUCUUCCAGAGAAUCAAAUCACAGAACAACAGGGGAAUUAAUACCUUAAGACGAACAUCAGAACCAGAAGAUAAAUUUGCCUCUAAUAUUUUCCCGAUGUCCUUUUCCAGCAUAUACUCAGGCCUAGCAAUUAGAACAAAACCUAAUGCCUACAAGAAUUAAAAACUAAUAAGUCUGUCUUAAACUCAAGCAGGCUUCAAAAAGUUUAAGGGCCAAUAACAACAUACCUGCAAAGAUCUGACUUUUAUACCAAAAUCCUCCAUUUGUAGAUACUUUUUAAACAAGGUGAGGUUGCUAACAACAUCAAUAUUUUUGUUACCAGAGGUGCUCAGCAAAGAAUUCUCAUAGCGAAUAAGCAAUCCAAGACAAAAAAGAGAACGGCACAAUAGCUGCUUGUUAUCAGUUCCCAGAGCAUCCAGACGUUUGAAGAAUACCUGGAUAAGAUACUCAACAACAGCAGCACCCUUUCCUGCUACUCUACUCAAAGAGCAAAGACACUUGAUGCAAGCAUGGACAACUGUUAAAAAUGAAUGCCGAACAAUCAUGUGCAUCAAAUCUUGUUCAAGCUCUUCAACAACACUUUGAGGCAACUUUCGGAUCAAUGGAAGAACAGAAUCAAUUAUAAAGAUUACACUCUCCAGUAAAUGUGCAACUGCUCGGUUGUCAACAAGAACCUGAGUCUUGAGAUAUGGCUGCAGAGUGACUACAAAUUGGGAAGGGUCAGAAGCUGGUGCACAAAGCGUAGCAUCCACAACACAAAAUGCAUGCAGUGCCAGCACAUAAGGUAGCGUGCUCACUUCCAUUUCCUUGCUGCUCAUUUCCUCUACCUGCAAUAUCUUUUCUAGUAAGCACUUGCACAUCAACUCACAGCGCUUACGAACUGAUGCAACUGACACAGGAUUGAUCCCAGCAGCUUUAGCUGAUUGUGGGAAAAAAUCAAGGGCUAGGUUACGCUUAAUGACAGUGACAAGAAGCUGAUGACUUGGCAUCUUCCUCAACAUCUCAACAAUUUGCUCAGUCUUCUUAGCCACCUCCAAGGGCACAGAACUACCAUCUCCAAAAUAUUGUGUCAGCAAACCUGAUGGUUCCUCAAACCAGAACUCAUAAAAUGUCUUGCAAACAAGAUCCUGGAAUAAGAUAAGUAUAAAUGCAGGGAAAUAACAUUAGGGAAGUAAACAAAUUUUCAUGCAAGCACAUGGUAUUCCUAAAAAAUGAAAUCAAUGAUGUAUCAUGAAACUUAUGAAAGAAUAUGAUAAUGGCACUGCUAACCAUUACAAUGAUAAACAUGACAAGCACAAUUCAGAAGAUUUUCACUAACCCAAAAGGCUAGGUGAGAAAAUGCAGAUUAAUAAGGGCAGUCACCAAAUAUAAUUAUUUAACAUACAGAAAGGACUAAACACCAGGAAAAAUAUACAAAUACUAAAACAUGGCAGAAGUGACUAACAAUUAUUUAUGAACUCAUUUCAUUCGCUUCAAAAUUACCUGAAUACUUGACUCAUCAUCACUAAUGCGAGAAAUGAUUUCAAUACAAGCAGUCGUAAAUUCAGAGAAGUUAGCAUUUGAGGUGCACAUAUCUCGGAUAAUUUUGAUAGCUCGUUUUCUAACACUUACUCCUGUGUCUUUUAUCCUCUCAGCAACUUUCUCAAAAUACUUCAGCCCAACAUCAGGAUGUGAAGCAAUAUGCCUACCAACAAGUUCUAAUGCUGCUUCUCUUACAGAUAUUGCAGAGUCACAAAAUCUUCCUUCAACAGCCAUUUGAACACGUUUGUCACAUAAUACUUCCGGAUCAACUUCUACAAUAAUACUAACUGCUCGUAAGGACUUGGCCCUAAUUACAGGAGAAUUCUCCCUUAAACUUGCCAGAAGCACAUGAAGAAUCUUAUCAAAACCUCUGCAGAAGGAACUAAUUUGACCCAGUGCUAAAGUAAUCUUCUUUGCUGAAUCCCUCUUCAACUUUGAAUAGUUAGUCACAGUAUCACGCACGACAAGAUUUGAUUUAAGUCUUGUAAGGUAGUAAAUGAGUUUCUGCUGAGAUUUUGGAUCAUCUUUGUACCAUAAACAUAGAUAGAACCAUCGAACAAAAAGAUGCACAUCAUUAGCAGAUACAGAAUCUUGGAGGUGAUUCAAGAGCAACUGCUGAACAAUUUCAACUUUUGCAAUGGGAUCACACGCUUUAGAAUCCUUUUUGUUAUUUUUUUUCCCCUCAUCCUUACUCUGUGAUUUGCAGUAUGAUUGUAACACAAUAAGUUGCUUCUUGCAGAUACAAAUCUGGCAUUGCCAACUCCGAUUAGGAGCUUCAUGUUCUCUUACUCCCAUGCAGUCAGCAUGAAACAAUCUCCGACAACCUUGACACAUAAACAGUGUUUUUUCAACUCUUCCAUCAAAGCAAACACAACAUGCAUCUUUAGGAUAACUCUGGUCGACAUUAUCACCACCAGUCAAUUCCAUUAAUAUCCAAAAUUUGUUCCUGCCACAAAUGACAGCGUCCUGCUUCAAUCUUGUUGCAAUUGUACCAAGAAUAUCAAUGGCCAAGGAACGUGCAGAAAUGUCCUUGGACUUCAGCCCAGCAUUCUGGAGUAGCAAUACGCAAAGAACCUCCAGGAUGGGAGCUGAUGCGGGGUAUUCAGGUAAGUUCAGAGUUGUUAGUAGAUCUGCAACAAGAUUUUCCAUCAUCACUUUCAUUUCAGAAGCAUCCUGGUUCUUCACAGUUGCAAAGCGCUGAAGAACCCGGGUCCAGAAAAGACAGCAUGUCUCCGUGACCGCUUCAUGGCAUUUGGUUGGAUAAGUAGCAUCCAAAGAGACUUCUAAAAUAGAAUUACCACUUGACGCUUCCCUCAAAGGAUCAGGAAGAUUUGCACUGCUGUGAACCAAUUGAAUCAACAAAGCGCUAAUCAUCUGAAUCUGCCUCUGUUCUUCAUCGGGCAGGUGGUAGGCUCUUACUGCUCGUUUUGAAAAUGGUAACUUCAAGAGAAGUUGAACAACCUCAUCUAUAACAUAUGCUCGGUGCUGUGCAUAUGAAUAGAAUAUCCCACUAAUUAAACCAAUUGCCUUCAAUUGCAAGAGUUGGAUAUUAUCCACCAAAAAUGUUGUGAAGCUUGUCUUCACCAGUUGUAGAAUGCAACUAUCAGAUAACCUCUCUAUCAACAACAAAUCCUUCAGCAAACCAAGUACAGUGCACAGUUUUUGUAGUAUAGUAUUCACAGCUCCAGAGACCUUGUUAAAUGCUGAUUUCUUCAGUUUUGAACUCUUUUGAGUACGCCUUCUCUUGCUUGCUGAACCAUAUUCAGUCUCAAGUUCUUCAUCUUCAUCACCUUCAGGUGCCACAUUUUCACUUGGCUUAUGCAAAGCACGAUAUGAUGGAUCAUAAGCUGACAUAACAUCCAUUAUCUGAUGCUUAGAGAACUCAAGAAUUCUUUCAAUGUUCUCUUCCUUAUACAGUUGCUUUGGCAUGUUGUUAUGAGCCAUUACAGCUAGAGCUGCAUGAAUGGAUUCCAAGGCACAAAAGACCAAGGAGACUGCAUCUGAAUCAUGUUCACAUUCAUCAACAGACAAACCUUCUGCUCGGUGUAUCUGAUUAUCUAGAACCCGUAAGAGCCUUACAAGAAUAUCUACGGGAACCAAAUGUAGAAGUUUUUUUGAACGUAUGGACAUUAUUUCAUUCACAAGCAUUCUAACAUCAGAAGCAGGCACUGACAACCAUUCUGCUUCACCCCGUUCAUCACCCAUAAUUUCAGAUCUACCACAGAAGUCCUCUAGCACAUCACAGAAGCUUCCAAUGGUAGCAUCUUGAAUCUCAGCAGGAUCUGGCUGAACCAGUGGUGGUACAUCAUCAGUGCCCUUCUUCUUGACUUUUGGUCUUCUCGAAGAAGAUGCAAUUUCAUUAGGAAUGGAGUUGAACUGGUGAUGUUGAUUUACAUCACAGUCUCUUUGACCUUGACUCAAAACAGGUACACUAGGCCCAAUGGGCUUGCUUUCAAAUACUGUACUUCCGGAUUGCUUCUUAUCAGGAGUUACAUACUCAAAUGCUUCAGGAUUGCAUUGAAGAACCUGGUCAUGAAGUUCCAAAGGCUCAACAAAUUCAAUUGAAAUUGGCCAUGUCUCAUCUCUAAGGUUCAAGUAGGAAACAUCCGUUUCUCGAAGCAGAUCAGCAAUUCGAGCAGACUGAGCGAGAAUUUCACUUCGAUUCAAAGACCAAACACCUCUAACACUACUACUACCACCAUCGUCGAAUAACCGCAGGUGCGGAUCCGAUGCGCCACAGAACACCGGAAGCGAAGGCAACGGCAAGCACGGUGCUACCUCCGAGUGUAUGGUGUUGGAUAACCCUAUGCCCCGUGGACCGGAGCUCCAGCCCGAAGCUGAGGCGGUUGGAUUUGAAUUUGAAUAGCUCAUCGAUUGAUUAACCGGUGAGUUAACGAGUGGCAAAGUAAAAGCAUGAAUAGAGAGUGACGUAGAGUAGUGUCGAAGUGGUAUUGAUGUAAUAAUGUGGAAUUAUGGGGCAAUUAGAGGAGAAUUAGGGUUUAACGCGUUGCAGAGAGAGCUGGAAGCCCUAGAAGGAGAGAAUUGGGUAGAGAAAAAAUAGAUGCAAAUGGCGGGGAAAGUUAU